GCUGUGAUGACUCUUUGGUGUUGAUCAUCUGAAAUGAUGAUACCCUCGUGUCCUCUAAGAAGUUCUGAGCUU
ensembl:snoRNA SNORD61 small nucleolar RNA, C/D box 61